AGUUUUGCUGGCUUGCAUCCCGCUUUAACAAAUGUUUGCUGUGCAAAUCCAUGCAAAACUG
rnacentral:miRNA from 1 species